rnacentral:rRNA from 1 species
GACGAACGCUGGCGGCGUGCCUAAUACAUGCAAGUCGAGCGCAGGAAGCCGUCUGAACCCUUCGGGGGGACGACGGUGGAAUGAGCGGCGGACGGGUGAGUAACACGUAAAGAACCUGCCCAUAGGUCUGGGAUAACCACGAGAAAUCGGGGCUAAUACCGGAUGUGUCAUCGGACCGCAUGGCCCGCUGAUGAAAGGCGCUCCGGCGUCGCCCAUGGAUGGCUUUGCGGUGCAUUAGCUAGUUGGUGGGGUAACGGCCCACCAAGGCGACGAUGCAUAGCCGACCUGAGAGGGUGAUCGGCCACACUGGGACUGAGACACGGCCCAGACUCCUACGGGAGGCAGCAGUAGGGAAUCUUCCACAAUGGACGAAAGUCUGAUGGAGCAACGCCGCGUGAACGAUGAAGGCUUUCGGGUCGUAAAGUUCUGUUGUAAGGGAAGAACAAGUGCCGCAGGCAAUGGCGGCACCUUGACGGUACCUUGCGAGAAAGCCACGGCUAACUACGUGCCAGCAGCCGCCGCGGUAA